rnacentral:lncRNA from 1 species
UCAAUCCCUGGGCCUGCCUGUGGUUGUUGGUCAGAGUAUACAUUGCAUCCUGCCUCUGGUUGGGGAUGAUGAAUUAUCUGCGAAUCAGUAGGCAUAAAUAUAUUGCAGAGAAAUGAGUUCCUUUGUCAGCCCUUCAGAGCAACUAGAGAAUCUGCUUCUGAGAGGAUUGCCCCUGAGAUGCUUCGAGGGCAGCAGCAGUCUGCUUCCAGGUAAUGCUGGCUCUCUGGGAGAAACCAAAUACAGGGUUGGUUCUUAAACUUGAACUUUGAUUUCACCUGGAAGGCUUAUUAAAACACAGCUGCUGAACUCCAUCCCCAGAAUUUCUGAUUCAGUAGGAAUUUGCAUUUCUAACCAGUAUCCAGGUGCUCUUGAUGCUGCUGGUCCAGGAAUCACACUUUGAAAACUGCUGUUUUAGGGUGCCAGCUUGAAUUGGAUCUUAUGUGGUCAGGCAGAAGUGAGGUUUUGUAUUGUUGGUAGUUUCAAACCAAGAAAAUUUUCUAGAUUAUCUGCCAGUUGUGUUCCUGGGAACCCCUCAAUUCAUAAGCCCCAAACAGAAGUCUUCCUGUGUUCUGUCCCUCCUGGCACCUGGAUUGCCAUCCUCCCUUAUGUGCUGAUUGUGAUGUCCACAUUCUUUUCUGUAAUUAGCUGCUCCACUUGUGUCUAGCACCAGCUCCUCUCAUGCUGUUUGUAUGUAGUGAUACCUUUUUCAACACUUCUCCCAUUCUAAAAGGACUAACUGCCACUUGGCAUCAGUCUCUUCAUGUUUUCUAACCCAAAUUCCCAAGACUGGCGAUCUGAUUAGCUGGCCAAGUUAUCUUUUUGUAACAAGGGUCGGUAGCUAGUCUAUGAAUUUUUAGCCUUUGGGUUGUGAGUCCAUCUUAAGUUCUGUUGGCUGUGGCCAGUUGAAGGGCAGACUAAUAUGGUAAAUAACAUGACUGCCUAGGCAGUAAAGGCUAGGAGUAGAGUAAUGGGACAGAAAACCUGGAAUCUGGUAGAUGGUGAUGAACGUUUUGAGUACUGUGUAUUGAUUGAAUGGCAGGUUUGCUUUUUUAGACAUAACCCACCAUAUUGGUUAUUUUUAAUACUACUAGUAAUAUUUAAUAUAAUAUUAAAUUUGAUAAUAUGUAUUGGUAAUUAAUGAGCUGGACUGAUACUUAGUUUUAGUAAAUAGCAAUUUCUUUGAGCCCCUUGACCACCUCCCCUCACCCCAACUAACCUGAUUCAUUCCAGGACUCCUUAGAUCUUCUGAAUACUGCAACUAAAGGCUUCUGCUCCAGGCCUAAAGUUAGCCUCUAUUUUGGUUCACUGAUGUCUGUGCCAUACUGAUUGUUAAAUAUUUUGAAAGUCAC